rnacentral:rRNA from 1 species
GACAGGGGGUGCAAACGUUGUUCGGAAUCACUGGGCAUAAAGCGCACGUAGGCGGCCAACUAAGUCAGAUGUGAAAGCCCCCGGCUCAACCGGGGAACAGCACCUGAUACUGGUUGGCUCGAGGACGGUAGGGGUGAGUGGAACUCCAGGUGGAGCGGUGAAAUGCGUAGAUAUUCGCAAGAACACCAGUGGCGAAGGCGGCUCACUGGCCCGGUACUGACGCUGGAGGUGACGAAAGCGUGGGGAGCAAACAGG